GACUGACCCGUGCGAGCUGCAGUUGACACUCCCACCAAGGCAAGAUCACCCAGCUCAUCAUGCUAGAGCACGUUUUUAAUGGGCUCCCCAACAACAAGGCGAUGUGUCAUCCAUAUCAACUUUCAAUGCCAUUUACUGGUGACCACGGGUAACUGGGAAUAAGGGUUCGAUUCCUGAGAGGGAGCCUGAGAAACGGCUACCACAUGCAAGGAAGGCAGCAGGCACGCAAAUUAACCACUAACAAUGUGGGAAGGUAG